rnacentral:rRNA from 1 species
GCCGCAGUAUUUUGACUGUGCGAAGGUAGCCUAAUCAAUAGUCUUUUAAUUGGAGGCUUGUAUGAAUGGUUGAAUGAGAUAUAUACUGUCUUUUUUAAAUUUUUAUAGAAUUUUAUUUUUUAAUUAAAAAGUUAAAAUAUAAUUAAAGGACGAGAAGACCCUAUAGAUCUUUAUUUUUGUUAAUUAUAAAUUAAAAAGGAUUAUCAAAUUUAUAGUUUAAUAAAAAAUUUUACUGGGGUGGUAUUAAAAUUUGAUUAACUUUUAUGAUUUAUUUACAUUAAUAUAUGAGUAAUUGAUCCAAUUUUAUUGAUUAAAAAUUUAAGUUACCUUAGGGAUAACAGCGUAAUUUUUUUUUAGAGUUCAUAUCGACAAAAAAGAUUGCGACCUCGAUGUUGGAUUAAU